rnacentral:rRNA from 1 species
GAAAUAGCUGCUAAUACCGCAUAAGCGCACGGUUCCGCAUGGAACAGUGUGAAAAACUCCGGUGGUGUGAGAUGGACCCGCGUCUGAUUAGCCAGUUGGCGGGGUAACGGCCCACCAAAGCGACGAUCAGUAGCCGGCCUGAGAGGGUGAACGGCCACAUUGGGACUGAGACACGGCCCAAACUCCUACGGGAGGCAGCAGUGGGGAAUAUUGCACAAUGGGGGAAACCCUGAUGCAGCGACGCCGCGUGAGUGAAGAAGUAUUUCGGUAUGUAAAGCUCUAUCAGCAGGGAAGAAAGUGACGGUACCUGAAUAAGAAGCCCCGGCUAACUACGUGCCAGCAGCCGCGGUAAUACGUAGGGGGCAAGCGUUAUCCGGAUUUACUGGGUGUAAAGGGAGCGUAGACGGCAAGGCAAGUCUGGAGUGAAAGCCCGGUGCUUAACGCCGGGACCGCUUUGGAAACUGUUUAGCUGGAGUGCCGGAGAGGUAAGCGGAAUUCCUAGUGUAGCGGUGAAAUGCGUAGAUAUUAGGAAGAACACCAGUGGCGAAGGCGGCUUACUGGACGGUAACUGACGUUGAGGCUCGAAAGCGUGGGGAGCAAACAGGAUUAGAUACCCUGGUAGUCCACGCCGUAAACGAUGAUUACUGGGUGUAGGUGGGUAUGGACCCAUCGGUG